AGUGCUCCCUGAAACCAGAGAAAAUGGAAAUUAGGAAUUUGUGUGAGCCUCAGAUAGUUACAGUGCUAAUUAUAUUUGGAAAUGAUCUCCUAUGGAUUUUAAAUGUAUUGGGUGGAGGAAUGUUUGACAUUUAACAUUUAAAUGGAGGUUCAACUAUGUACACUGACAAGGUGAUAACAGAUGCGCUGUAUUUUUUUUUCUAUAGCUGCAAAUCAUUAAGCCAAGGAUAUAUUAGGUGUGAUAUUGUAUGGAUAUAUUUUAAAAGGACUGAGUGUGGUCAUACCAACAACCUGUAUUUUUUUUAUUUUUUUUUUCUACAGCUGCAAUUCAUAAAGCCAAGGAUAUAUUAGGUGUGAUAUUGUAUGGUUGUAUUUUAAAAGGACUGUGAGUGUGGUCAUACCAACAACCAAAGUCUGCAAUGAACCUGUGGCAUCUUUUUGGAACUUCCGGUGCAUCCAGCUGAGUAACUGCAUGGAAUAAUUACAUAAACUCAGAAUUAGAUUGAAUAAAAGGAUAACAUUGCAGCUCCAAUUUGUUGCAGUUUUGCUGCACAAAAUUUUAACAGCAGGAUGUAGAGACUUCCUUUCAGUGCUUCCCAAAAAUGACCAGCCUACUUGAGAGAAGUCAACAAAAAUUAUCGAAAACUUAGAAUAGGGCGCUUGCAAGUUGUAAACGUUCAAUUGUUUCUAAAGCUCCAAAAUGUUCGUGAACUCUGGAUUGCCGUUUGUUCUAAUGCUUUGCUGCCCUGGAAUUAAAGUGAACCGGGGGCCGACCGGAGGUAGUUCCAUGUAUUUGUUUGCGUAUAGUACGCGUGCCACCAAAACCACCAAUCGAACCUUUUGGUAAAAAGAGGUUUGGCUAAAUAUUUGAGGAUUGGAUAAAUGUUUAUUAUCAGCCUGUUCUUCUUAAGAUAAUGUCUACCUCUUUUUUUAUUAAGAUUUUGUCAACCUCAUACACUUGUGUUUGAUCAACUCAUUGAAAGAGAAAUAUGGGGUCAAUCACAUCUUUCUUGAAGUGCCGAGGAAGAAGGUUUAUGACUAGAAAUUUAUAUUUUAUCCAAAACCAAGAAAUUGAUAAAAUUAUGAUUUUUUUUUUUUUUUUAUGAUAAUAUGUGACUAAUGUUAUUAAUGAUAAUAUGUGUCUAAGGCGAUAAAUUAAAAGUCCAAUUAUUGAGUAAAGACCGUGAAGUUCAUGACAUUUCUUUGUUCUCACCUUACUAAUUAAAAAGCAUUAUAGGAGAACUAAUAGACUUAUAAUCCUUUGAUUCCGAAUUAUAUUGACUAUAGAUCAUCAUCCUGUACGGUGAGAGAAAACUACCAUAAACACCUUGGAGCGUGAAAGCUUUACCAUUGAGUUUAACUUGAUUCUCGAUACUAAGACUAAUUGGAAAUAAUUUCUCUCACUUUGUUCCAAGGUUUUCUAGUGUACAUUUUGAAGACUUUAUUAUAAAAGAAUUGUAAUUUUUGGAAAUAUAACUUUGUACCUAUCAGCAGAGUG